rnacentral:rRNA from 1 species
AAAUGAAUAGACGGGGACCCGCACAAGCAGAGGAGCGUGCGGUUUAAUUCGCCGGUCCGCGAAAAACCUUACCAAGGCUUGACAUCGGAUGCAUACUGUGGAAACACAGGAAAAAAUAGUAAUAUUUCAUCCAGACAGAUGGUGCAUGGCCGUCGUCAGCUCGUGUCGUGAGAUGUUGGGUUAAGUCCCGCAACGAGCGCAACCCUUGUUUUUAGUUGCCAUCAUUAAGUUGGGCACUCUAGAAAGACUGCCGUGGAUAACAUGGAGGAAGGUGGGGAUGACGUCAGGUAUCACGCCUCUUACGCCUUGGGCUACACGCGCGCUACAAUGGUCACAACAAAGAGAUGCAAACCCGCGAGGGGAAGCUAACCUCAAAAAAGUGAUCUCAGUUCAGAUUGCAGUCUGCAACCCGACUGCAUGAAGUAGGAUUUGCUAGUAAUCGUGAAUCAGAAUGUCACGGUGAAUUCGUACUCGGGUCUUGUACACACCGCCCGU